UGCCAGCCGCCGCGGUAAUACAGAGAGUGCGAACGUUGUUCGGAAUUACUGGGCUUAAAGCGCGCGUAGGCGGCGUAACAAGUGUCGGGUGAAAUCCCACGGCUCACCCGUGGAACUGCCCGGCAAACUGUUAUGCUAGAGUGUGGUAGGGGAGAACAGAACUCAUGGUGGAGCGGUGAAAUGCGUAGAUAUCAUGAGGAAUACCGGUGGCGAAGGCGGCUUUCUGGAUCUCUUCUGACGCUGAGGGACGAAAGCUAGGGGAGCGAACAGGAUUAGAUA
rnacentral:rRNA from 1 species